AUGUUAAACCCUGCAAGUCUGAAAUCAGCAUUCCUGGGCUGGAAUUUUCACUGAGCCAUCUGGUGGAUUUUAGCUGCAAAUGUAGGGCUGGCAAACUUCAUAAAGCCUCUGCCUUGUUAGUCCUGCUCCUCUGCCUUCAUGAUCCAAUGUGGGCAUAAGAAUUCCUCAUGUAGACACAAUCCAGCAGUGGGAGAUCCAUUUAGGCUGAGAUUAUGUGGCCUCAGAGUAACAUGAGUCAAUGCAGAGCUGAAGCAGCAGCUCCCCUUGCAAUCAGAUAAUCUGAGCCUGGAAGAAAGAGUUGGCUUUUUGUUUUCCCAAGACACUACCCCCAGGAGGAAGAAACUGCUGGGUUCAGGUUCAGCUGAAGCUGAUAGUAUCUGGCAGCUGGCUAACAGCUCUUGGGGUACAUCCCCAGGGGCUGCAGCUCCUUUUCUCCCAUCAUAAGAACUAUUUUACUUUAUCACCUGAGGAGGGUUUGAAAUGCUCGACUAGAGCUGGCUUGUCUGCAGCUUGUGUUAAGAGAGGCAGGGCUGCCACUGCAAAAAGCAUGGAUUUGCAGG